rnacentral:rRNA from 1 species
UACGUAGGGUCCAAGCGUUGUCCGGAUUUCUUGGGCGUAAAGAGCUCGUAGGCGGCUCAGUAAGUCGGAUGUGAAAACUCGGGGCUCAACCCCGAGACGCCAUCCGAUACUGCUGUGGCUUGAGUCUGGUAGGGGAACACGGAAUUCCUGGUGUAGCGGUGAAAUGCGCAGAUAUCAGGAGGAACACCGACGGCGAAGGCAGUGUUCUGGGCCAGUACUGACGCUGAGGAGCGAAAGCGUGGGUAGCAAACAGG